GUCCAGAAGGACAACACUCACACCACGAUUUUUAAGUUGUGCCAGUGCAUCGCCGGCAUUGCCGGCUUCAAGGCACG
rnacentral:sRNA from 1 species